GCCGCCUUAGCUCAGUUGGUUAGAGCGCUGGUUUGUGGAACCAGAGGUCCUUGGUUCGAGACCAAGAGGCGGUACCA
rnacentral:tRNA from 1 species